UACGUAGGGUGCAAGCGUUGUCCGGAAUUAUUGGGCGUAAAGAGCUCGUAGGCGGUCUGUCGCGUCGGCUGUGAAAUCCCGGAGCUCAACUCCGGGUCUGCAGUCGAUACGGGCAAACUGGAGUACUGCAGGGGAGACUGGAAUUCCUGGUGUAGCGGUGGAAUGCGCAGAUAUCAGGAGGAACACCGGUGGCGAAGGCGGGUCUCUGGGCCAUAACUGACGCUGAUGCGCGAAAGCUAGGGGAGCAAACAGG
rnacentral:rRNA from 1 species